CGUCGUUGAAAGUAAGCCUAUCAGUUACAUUUGAUAAAACUGUACUUUUUAUUUAAUGGCGUGUGCUUUAGGGCACUACCAUUGCACAUUAACAUAAUAAUAAGGACACGUUGCAUGCAUGAAUCGUAGAAGACGGAGCACUUAUUUAGUACAUGACAUUUGUUACUUCAAAAAUAAAGCUUACACAACUAUCGGUGUUUGGAAUAGGAAGACUGUACGGGGUUUUGCGAUAGCAAUAGUUAUCGCGUAAGUUAUCAAUCUGAAACCCGGAAGAUUAUUUUGAAAAAGUAUAGCCUUCUGCUCGUACGUGACUAGAAGUGUUAGCGACCAAAAAGGCUAGCAUCAUGAACAGAGGGAAUACAGAAACUCAAGUGCACGAGAAAACUGAAAUGGAUUAUACAAAAACACCGACUAAUAACGAAGGACAUGAGGUCAUGGAUUUGGAAGAGGGUGCGGAGAGACCUGACAUUGAUACGAGACAUCAGCAAGAUGAAAACACCAAGCCUAAAAAAAAUGAAGGAAGCGUAAAUAAACAAGCAAACAACAAACAAUCAUCACCAGAAGUAGAGAAAGAGGCGCAUAAGGGAGACUCAAAUACUGGUAAUAAAACAGAAUCCUCCGGAUCUGAGGUCGUGGAUUUGAAAGAACAAAAGAGCGAGAAUGCGGAGAGACCUUACAUUGAUACGAAACUGCAAAAUAUUGACCUCUAUUUCGAAUCGAUCGCUGAAUCUUAUGUCCACUAACAACAAGACAUGAAGCAGGCAAUGAUGCAAAUGGAUCGCGCAGAAGAAGGUAUUUAAUUGUAUUAAUGCCAGCAAGCAGAUGUUGUACGGUGUGUACGGCAAUUUCAUAUCAAUUCUUGAAGAGUUCGAAGCACGGACGCAAGAGAAAAAACUCGUUAGAUCAAAAAUAGAAUUACCCGACCAGUCCAAAAAGGACGUGAAUGAUGUGCAGAGCAUUGUGCAGACGCAACUGUUGGUGUUUAAAAACCUGCAAAUAGCAUCUGGAGAUAGGGUUAGUCAAAGCGUUAACAAAGACCUGAGGGAAAGAACACUUCAUUGGGCCGCCGUACGGGCUGACCAAGAGAUACCAUUACAGACCACUGACACAUAUAUCUGUCAACUGUAUGAAGUUCUGACGAAAGGGAAAACCAAACAUGAAAUUCUGAAUAAAGCCAUCAUGAAACCCGUCUCUGCCAAGACAUUGAAAAAAAAACGUUCGGCGCAUUUUUAAAGGGAAACAUGACGUAAUGGAAAUUGACCAAAAAUUCAAAAACGACGACAAGAUGAAGGCAACAAGCCCCGAUACGCGCCGCUCAGGACUGGAUGACGCUUAUAAACGCGGGGCAGAUCGUAUGAUAAAAGCACUGCCUGCAUUAUAAGAGGUACUUUCACAAGAUUGUCAGGCGUUUUUUGAUAACAAAUAAGACAACGUUCUUCGCAAAAAAAGUGAUUAGGCACGAUGAUGUUUAUACUUCAUUAAGCUUUAAUUUUCUAAUUAAAGGUACAUACAAAAAGGUUUGGUAGUAUGGGCCGGCAUGCAUGAUGUCCUCGUGGAAUGUUAUUAUUUGAAUUAUAAGUGUGACGUUUGCGUGUGUAAAACAUUAGUUUACAUUAUAAUCCGUUUAUUAUAGUGAUAUGUGAUGAACUAAAUAAUGGUCAUCUCAAAUUCCCUUCCUUUUUUAUAUUUAUCUUUAACUAUAUUCAUGUAAAGAUAUAUAAAUGAUGUAACCAUACAUAGUAAAUGUAUUCACAAUGUGAUUAAAUUUGUAUAUAUUGUGACAAGUUUAAAUGCGCUAUGUGUUGUGAUGUUUUUGUCUAUAGUCGGUUUUCUAUAAUAUUAAUUUGGAUUGGUACACAAUAAUUUUAGUAAUCGUAUCGCUGUUUAUUUUUUUAUAUCGUCUGGCUUAAGUAAAUGUAUAUGAAAGCUAGAACAUAAAAUAAUAUAACCUUAAUUGAUCGGCAUCCUCAAAUCCGUUCGGAUAUAGAAUUACUCUCGAAAAUGGGUUUAAAUGUUGAUUAAAUUACCUACAUAGAGUAAGAAUUUGCGCAAAACAUUGAUGCCAUCCUCAUAUGACUCUACGCGUUUUUUGGGAGGGUGGGGUUGCAAUUUUUAUGUAGUAUUAUAGUGCUGAUGUUCGUGUAUCGUUUGAAAUUACCAAAAACUCUUCUUUACUCUUAACUAUAUUUUGAUGAUAAAGUUUGGAUCAUAGAAAGUAAUUUAUGUUUAGCAGGAACGCAAGUGCCGAAUUAGUAAAUGAUCGACGGAUCAGAAAAUGUUCUCUAUUUUAAACUCAACUUCACCAAAAUGUAAAAUUUCGAGCUCCUAUUGACAAUUUAUUUGCAUUUACGAAGAGAAUAUUCAAAUACCGAGAAUUGUAUUGCACAUAUUAUUAAGGUCCACAUUAUGCAAAUGCACAAUAUAGUUCCGGCAUUAACAUGCUUUAAAGUAACUUUGUAUACAAAUCUAUUCAAAUCAAUAUGUUUUAGCUUCUAAUAUCCUAUUAAUCUAAUAAAGUUAUU